GCGUAUUCAGUCGGGCACAGCUGGAACGACUGCUAAUACCCGAUGUGCCCUUCGGUGAAAGAUUUUUUGUCGCCUGAUGAUCUCGCGUCGGAUUAUCUAGUUGGUGGGGUGUAAUGCACUACCGCGACGAUCAUCGGUUGGUGUGUUAGGAUGACCAUCCACCCUGGUGCUGAUACACGGCCCACACUCCUCCUGGAGGCGGCAGUGGGGAAUUUUUUUCCAUGGGGGAAAGCCUGACGAAGCAAUACCACCUGGGGGAGGAAGGCCUUUGGGUUGUAAACCUCUUUUUUUCUGGAAGAAGAAGCUCUGACGGUACCUGAGGAAUCAUCAUCUGCUUCCUCCGCGCCAGCCGCCGCGAUACUACGGAUGAUGCCAGCGUUCUCCAGAAUUGGUGGGCGAAAAGCCUCCGCAGGCUGAUAAAUAAUUCUGCUUUAAAAGAGUGGGGCUCAACCCCAUAGAGGGAGUGGAAACUGUUUAGCUAGUGCGAUGGUAGGUAACAGAGAAUUCCCCCAGUGUAGGUGAAAAAAUGCGUAGAUAUUGAAGAACAACACCGGUGGAAAACGCGCUCUGCUGGACCACUACUGACUGCUGAACGAAAACUGCUGGAGGAGAAUGGGAUUAUUAUAUCCCCGCUUGUCAUCA
rnacentral:rRNA from 1 species